rnacentral:rRNA from 1 species
UACGUAGGUGGCAAGCGUUGUCCGGAUUUACUGGGCGUAAAGGGCGUGCAGGCGGUCUGUUAAGUUCAGGGUGAAAGCUCCCGGCUCAACUGGGAGAGGUCCUUGGAUACUGGCAGACUUGAGGGAGGAAGAGGAAAGUGGAAUUCCGCGUGUAGUGGUGAAAUGCGUAGAGAUGCGGAGGAACACCAGUGGCGAAAGCGGCUUUCUGGUCCUUAACUGACGCUGAGGCGCGAAAGCAUGGGGAGCGAACGGG